UUGUCCAUUUCUAUAUACAAGAAGUAUUGUUCAUAUUGUAUCGAAGAUGAUUAGAAACGAAAUAGUGCUCCGUUUUAAAACUUUGAAACGGAGUAUUUUUUUUCGUUUGUAAUUAGUUGAGUUUCUCUAACGUUAGAAACAGAGAGUUAUUCCAUUUCAUUUUUUUGAAAUAGAUUUAAGUGUCCGUUUCUAUUCUGUGAUUUUGUUCUUCCUCCUUUCUCUGUCUUGAAACCCUAAUUCAUUUUCCUCUUCCACUCGAAUUCAUUUUCCCUCACACCUUCCUCAGUCACUCUUGCUCUGUCUCUUUCUCUUGCUCUCUUUCUCAUACUAUUCUAAAGUCCCUUUCUCUGAACAUCGGCGCAAAGUCCCUCAGUCACCCAAAUUCACUUUGGAGCUAUUCUAAAGGUCAAUCACACUUUUGGGUAUUUUUUUUCUUUCUCUCUCACGCUCAUUCAGGCUUGCCCUUUCUCUAUUUUAGGGUUAGAGACAGUCGAAGAUAUAACAGCCUUAACCAGUUGACUCGAGCCAGUGGGUUUCAGAGUCACAAGCAGUUGCAUCUUUCUUACAUUUGUUUAAGGAAAAUCAUGUCCAUCAUCAAGGAAAAGUUGGACGUGGAAGACUAUUGUUGGAAAACUAUCUCGAACGAGAUGAAAGACUUUCACUAGACCGAGUUUCAGAAAAACUUCACUUGGGAUGAGAUAAUGACAUCCCUUGUGAAGAUUGCUUGGGAGAACAAGGCUGCUAAGCAUUUAUGUGCCAUUAAAGGAAGUUGGCAUAGAAGCCCUUUUCGUGCCUGAUGCAGCAUGGUGUAAGUGGAAAGAGACCUGGCGUACACCUGACUUCAAAGCUCGUAGUGAGCAAUUCAUAGCAAAUCACCGUAGUAAGACUAGAGGACCCGAAUCUGACAUAUCUCACCACACGGGGGGCUCAAUUUCCCAUGUGUAACACGCAGAGAGAUUGGCCAUGAGGUAAGCUCAGCCGAGAUCCUCUCCCCCACGAGCUUUUCGAGACAAUCCAUACGAGGAAGGGCACUUCAGAGCUCGUUGAUGCACGGGCACAAUCCAUCAAGGUUGUUGGAGGUGAGAAGAAAUGACGGGUUUAUGGAGUUAGAUUACAGGCAUCUAUUUUCUACCCCCAAUAAGCUGGUGCAUCAUCUUUUACUACUUCCCACAUGCCAGCACCGGCUGUUAAAGAGGAGCUAUGUCAACUAUGAUAGACGGUUGAGAUCUUAUAGCAGAGAGACAAGGACGGUGAGCACAUGAUGCAAGAGAGGGAGGAGCAGCGUGAGCGCCUUAUGUAAGACCAACUAAGACAGAUGCAAGAGAUGAUGAGGCAGAUGCAGUCUCGAUUCUCACAACCCUCACAGCCAAUGGAGUAGGAUCCACCUACAAGAGAUGCCGCUGCUGAUGAUCAUUUGGAUGAUUUAUAGCUUCCUUCUUGUUUAUGGAUAUUCUUAUCGAGCACUAUGAAUUUUUCUACACACUUUACAUUGUAUUUAUCCAUACACUUUACAUUAUAUUUAUGGAUUUCAUGAUUAUGUCUUUAAUUCAUGUCAUUUACUUUAUUAAUAUGAAAUGGAGCUUUUAUUAUUA